rnacentral:rRNA from 1 species
UACGGAAGGCAGCAGUGGGGAAUAUUGCACAAUGGGCGAAAGCCUGAUGCAGCUAUGCCGCGUGUAUGAAGAAGGCCUUAGGGUUGUAAAGUACUUUCAUCGGGGAGGAAAAACAAAACUAAUAAUUUUAUUUCUUGACGUUACCCGAAAAAGAAGCACCGGCUAACUCCGUGCCAGCAGCCGCGGUAAUACGGAGGGUGCUAGCGUUAAUCAGAAUUACUGGGCGUAAAGAGCACGUAGGUGGUUUUUUUAAGUCAGAUGUGAAAUCCCUCGGGCGUUAACCUAGGAACGUGCAUUUUGUAAACUAGAAAUAACUAGAGUAUCGUAGAGGGAGGUAGAAUUCUAGGUGUAGCGGUGAAAUAGCGUAGAUAUCUGGAGGAAGUACCUGUGGCGAAAGCGGCCUCCUAAACGAAUACUGACACUGAGUGCGAAAGCGUGGGAGGCAACAGGGAUUAGAUACC